AGGGUUUGGUCUGGGGAAGACAUACAUGACAGUAGGUAUUCAAGGAAAGGAUGGCGGCUGCUCUCCAAACAUCUUUCCAGGGUACAGAGCAGGGGCUGGGUGGAGGUGGAGCUGGAGGUCAAAUCUUUCGAUGAAAUCCUCCAGCCCCGCUUUGCCCUCCACCCUCCCACCAUCACCCAUGAUAAGCGUGGAGCAUUGUUCAGGACAGAAAAGAAGAAACUCCUUCACGUCAGGCUAUAUGCAUGUGGUAUUCAUGCAUAAGGCAAAUAUCUAUCACUGUAAUGGCAAAGAUGACGGAGGUAAUUUCAAUCUGGAUUUUGUUGGUUGAAAAAAUAAAUAAAGUCCUAUCUUUCCAAUCUUUUUAUAUCAACCAAAGAUACACUGUUCAGUCCCUUCUCCCAGG